UAUUUUGGCUUUAUAAUUAAUUAAAAUAUUUUUUUAUAUGUAAAUUUUGGUUUUUUGAUAAUUUGAAUUGCAGUUUAGAUUUUUAGUAAUUAUAGAAAUAUAGAAUUAGGAAUUUUUUUAAGUAUAGACUAAGUUUGUGCCAGCAGUAGCGGUUAUACAAACUAUACAAGUUAAUUUUUUUUGGGAUUAAUUAAAUAUUUAUUUUUGUUUAGUUUAUUAUAUAAAUUUUUAGGUGAAAUUUAAAUUUAUAUAUAUAUUAAUUUUAAAGAUUUUGAAGUUGGGAAAUUUUAGUAAGAGAAUAGGAUUAGAUACCCUAUUAUUUAAAAUGUAAUUUUGAAUCCUUGGAUAUUAAUAGUUAAGGUCUUUAAAACUAAAAAAUUUGGCGGUAUUUUAGUCUUUUCAGAGGAACCUGUUUCUUAAUUGAUAAUCCACGAUUAAUGUUACUUUAUCUUUUAGUUUAUAUAUCGUUGUUUAUAAAAAUUUUUUGAGAAUUUAAUUUUUAAGAUAUUUAUUUAAUAGUAUUUCAGAUCAAGGUGUAGUUGAUGAUGAAGUGAAAAUGGGUUACAAUAAAUUUAUUUAUGGAUAGAAAUUUGAAUAAUUUUUUGAAAUUGGAUUUGAAGGUAAAAUAUAAAUAUUUAUUAUUUGAUUAAGCUCUAAAAUAUGUACAUAUCGCCCGUCGCUUUCAUUUAAAUUGAAAUAAGUCGUAACAAAGUAGAUUUAUUGGAAAAUGAAUCUGGAAUGAA
rnacentral:ncRNA from 1 species